rnacentral:rRNA from 1 species
CUUGGUUCUGGCAUCGAUGAAGAACGCAGCGAAAUGCGAUAAGUAGUGUGAAUUGCAGAAUUCAGUGAAUCAUCGAAUCUUUGAACGCACAUUGCGCCCCUUGGUAUUCCAUGGGGCAUGCCUGUUCGAGCGUCAUUUGUACCUUCAAGCUCUGCUU